UACGUAGGGUGCGAGCGUUGUCCGGAACUAUUGGGCGUAAAGAGCUCGUAGGCGGUGUGUCACGUCGUUCGUGAAAACCUGCAGCUUAACUGUGGGCGUGCGGUCGAUACGGGCAUCACUGGAGUUCGGCAGGGGAGACUUGGAAUUCCUGGUGUAGCGGUGAAAUGCGCAGAUAUCAGGAGGAACACCGGUGGCGAAGGCGGUUCUCUGGGACGGUACUGACGCU
rnacentral:rRNA from 1 species